rnacentral:rRNA from 1 species
UACGGGGGAGCAAGCGUUGUCCGGAUUUAUUGGGCGUAAAGAGCGUGUAGGCGGCCCGGUAAGUCCGCUGUGAAAGUCCAGGGCUCAACCCUGGGAUGCCGGUGGAUACUGUCGGGCUCGAGUCCGGAAGAGGAGUGUGGAAUUCCUGGUGUAGCGGUGAAAUGCGGCAGAUAUCAGGAGGAACACCGGUGGCGAAAGGCGGGUCUCUGGGCAACAACGUGACUGAGGAGCGAAAGCGUGGGGAGCGAACAGG